rnacentral:rRNA from 1 species
AGAGUUUGAUCCUGGCUCAGGACGAACGCUGGCGGCGUGCUUAACACAUGCAAGUCGAACGCGCCUGUCCUCUGGUUUUCCGGGGGGUGGGUGAGUGGCGAACGGGUGAGUAACACGUGAGUAACCUGCCCCCUUCUUCGGGAUAACGGUCUGAAAGGGCUGCUAAUACCGGGUAUUCACUGGUCCUCGCAUGGGGGCUGGUGGAAAGGUUUUUUUCUGGUGGGGGAUGGGCUCGCGGCCUAUCAGCUUGUUGGUGGGGUGAUGGCCCACCAAGGCUUUGACGGGUAGCCGGCCUGAGAGGGUGACCGGUCACAUUGGGACUGAGAUACGGCCCAGACUCCUACGGGAGGCAGCAGUGGGGAAUAUUGCACAAUGGGCGCAAGCCUGAUGCAGCGACGCCGCGUGAGGGAUGGAGGCCUUCGGGUUGUGAACCUCUUUCGCCCGUGGUCAAGCCGCGACGUGGGUCGUGGUGAGGGUAGUGGGUAAAGAAGCGCCGGCUAACUACGUGCCAGCAGCCGCGGUAAUACGUAGGGCGCGAGCGUUGUCCGGAAUUAUUGGGCGUAAAGGGCUUGUAGGCGGCUGGUCGCGUCUGCCGUGAAAUCCUCUGGCUCAGCUGGGGGCGUGCGGUGGGUACGGGCUGGCUUGAGUGCGGUAGGGGAGGCUGGAACUCCUGGUGUAGCGGUGGAAUGCGCAGAUAUCAGGAAGAACACCGGUGGCGAAGGCGGGUCUCUGGGCCGUUACUGACGCUGAGGAGCGAAAGCGUGGGGAGCGAACAGGAUUAGAUACCCUGGUAGUCCACGCUGUAAACGUUGGGCACUAGGUGUGGGGGCCACCCGUGGUUCCCGCGCCGUAGCUAACGCUUUAAGUGCCCCGCCUGGGGAGUACGGCCGCAAGGCUAAAACUCAAAGGAAUUGACGGGGGC